UCAAACGGCCCCCGGGUUGUCUGAAGCCAUGUGAUUUGACACGAGGUUCACAGAAAGUUUAGGCCCCACUCCAAACAUCGGGGCUUUCACGCCCAGAAGAACAGAUGACAGGAUCUAGGAGAGUGAGGUGGUGAGAAGAAGGGGAUACUGCCCCCCUGAUAGAGGGACCAGGGAGCCAGUAAAGGAGGAUUUGUGUGAGAACAUGGGGGCAAUCCACUCAGGAAUCGAAAUUUUCUAGCAACCGGAUAAGGCUGGGCUUGGGAAGACCAAACUGAGCCAUGUUUUGUUAUAUUGCUGCUGUGGUCUUACUGUGGACAAUAAGUUAUUAAGCAGUUGCUUCUAGAAAAAGAGUACAUCCGUCCAAAAGGGCUAAAAUGGCUGGAAUCAUCCAGUAUAUCAGCUAUGUUAUUACAACCCCUUUGAUCAGAACGGUUGCUUUUCUUAAAAAUCCCUCCACAUUUAUUCUAGUUUGUGGGCUUUCUCAGUGUUGGGAACACAUAGAAAAUUAAGGCACAGUGAGUUUUGGUGCCUAGGAUGAGAAGAGAGAAAAAUGUGGACUGAGGUUACGUAUUGAUUGCAGAGUGUGUGUGUGUGUGUAUGUAAAGGAAGGAGGGAGCAUUUCCCUGGAGAGCUGUAACUGGGGAUUGGGAACAUGGAGGAGCCUGCUGGAGUAGAUGGCAGCUGAGCUGGUGAUUUCACCAGGCAGACAAAGUGGACAAGGCCGCUUCUACUACCGUCUCUACUUGGACUGUUUGGACAUAGUCUCCAGAGAAGACACUAUCAGCAAGACAGUGACUCCCUUCCAGUCCGUUUGAACUGGACUCCCUGGCAUCAGAUGUUAGACUGGCCACUGAUGGUGCUGAAAUUCUUCCUCCCUCCUUUGAUCUUCAGGAGCACUAUUGGCAGUUCUAAAAGUCAAGUUUAUAAUGGCUUGGAAAAAAAUAUCCACGAAGACAAGGUCAUCAGCUAUAAGAAAUCCUUGAUGUGAAUCCACAGUCCACAAAGCCCUGUCAAGCCUGUUGUCUCUUUGGAUCUCUCCAAACAAUCUUUGAGGUUAACCGCUAUAGGAAUUACUCAGCCCUGACGAGGCUAUGUGGAAUGGACAACAGGAAUGGAGAGGCCACUGUCCUAUGAACAAUCCAGUCCAGACUUGCGCAGACCACACAUAAAGAACAUCUCAGCAUAUGAAUGACAGCCAGCAAGCCAUGAACUCUUCCAGCAGGAAAAGCCAGCAAUGGCCAGUGUGCAAAUCAGUCUUGUCUUCCAGAUUCAUGAUUUGACUUUCAGAGUCCUCUAACCUACCAGAGUCGUGAUGUCCUGCUCUGUUAAGUGGGGUGACACUGAUACCUAAUACGUCUACCUGGCCAUGCUUACAAUUAAGAGCUAACCCAUGUCAGCACUCCCAGGGCAAGUGUUCAAGAAACAUUUCUUCCUCCUGCUGCUUCCGCUUUCCCCAUCCUCGCUAUUCAAGGCUCAUUUUGUUGUUUAAAAGCUAAUUUUCUGACAGCUCAUUUCCUCUCUGAAGGCUAUUGGGAUUCCUCCCGUCUGAACUAUGACUGAUCUUUCUAUCUGGUUCCUUUAAGAACUAAAAAAUAAUUCAUUCUUA